rnacentral:rRNA from 1 species
GACGAACGCUGGCGGCGUGCCUAACACAUGCAAGUCGAGCGGGAACCUCAGGAGGGGUAACCCUCCUGAGGGGAGAGCGGCGAACGGGUGAGUAACACGUGGGCAACCUGCCCCGGACACCGGGAUAACCCAGGGAAACCUGAGCUAAUACCGGAUACUCCGGCGAGAUCGCAGGGUCGCGCCGGGAAAGCUCCGACGGUCCGGGAUGGGCCCGCGGCCUAUCAGCUUGUUGGUGGGGUAACGGCCCACCUAGGCGACGACGGGUAGCUGGUCUGAGAGGACGGCCAGCCACACUGGGACUGAGACACGGCCCAGACUCCUACGGGAGGCAGCAGUGGGGGAUCUUGCGCUAAUGCGCGAAAGCGUGACGCAGCGACGCCGCGUGGGGGAUGAAGGCCCUCGGGUUGUAAACCCCUUUCGGCAGGGACGAAGCGAAAGUGACGGUACCUGCAGAAGAAGUCCCGGCUAACUACGUGCCAGCAGCCGCCGUAA